rnacentral:rRNA from 1 species
CACACAUUAGAUACCCUGUAGUCCCAGCCGUAACUAGUGACUCGCUAGGUGUCAGGCAUGGCGCGACCGUGUCUGGUCGCCGGCAGGGAAGCCGUGAAGCGAGCCACCUGGGAAGUACGGCCGCAAGGCUGAAACUUAAAGGAAUUGGCGGGGAGCACAACAACGGGUGGAGCCUGCGGUUUAAUUGGACUCAACGCCGGACAUCUCACCAGAGGCGACAGCUGUAUGAUAGCCAGGUUGAUGACUUUGCUUGACUAGCUG